GGCUCGGUGGUCUAAUGGGAUGAUUCUCGCUUAGGAUGCGUGAGGUCCCGGGUUCAAAUCCCGGCCGAGCCC